GGCUCAGAAUGAACGCCGGCGGCGUGCCUAACACAUGCAAGUCGGAUGUGCCCGCAAGGGUGCAUGGCAGACGGGUGAGUAACGCGUGGGGAACCUACCUCUUUGUGUGAAUAACGUUCCGAAAGGAAUGGUAAUACCGCAUGAGACCGUUGGCUGGGAUGCCGGCGGUGAAACCCGGGGACCGCAAGGCCUGGGGCAAGGAGAGGGUCCUGCGUCUGAUUAGCUAGUUGGCGGGGUAACGGCCCACCAAGGCGUCGAUCAGUAGCCGGCCUGAGAGGGUGAUCGGCCACACUGGAACUGAGACACGGUCCAGACUCCUACGGGAGGCAGCAGUGGGGAAUUUUGCGCAAUGGGCGAAAGCCUGACGCAGCAACGCCGCGUGGGUGAUGAAGGUCUUCGGAUCGUAAAACCCUGUCGUCAGGGACGAAGGUUGCAUGUCUAAUAGAUGUGUAACUUGACGGUACCUGGAGAGGAAGCCCCGGCUAACUCUGUGCCAGCAGCCGCGGUAAUACAGAGGGGGCAAGCGUUAUUCGGAAUUAUUGGGCGUAAAGGGCGCGUAGGCGGUGUCUUAAGUGAGAUGUGUAAUCCCCGAGCUUAACUUGGGAACUGCAUCUCAGACUGGGGCGCUAGAGUGCUGGAGAGGGUGGUAGAAUUCCACGUGUAGCGGUGAAAUGCGUAGAGAUGUGGAGGAAUGCCAGUGGCGAAGGCGGCCACCUGGACAGUAACUGACGCUGAGGCGCGAAAGUGUGGGGAGCAAACAGGAUUAGAUACCCUGGUAGUCCACGCUGUAAACGAUGAACACUUGGUGUGGUGGGAGUUGACCCCCGCCGUGCCGUAGCUAACGCGAUAAGUGUUCCGCCUGGGGAGUACGGUCGCAAGGCUGAA
rnacentral:rRNA from 1 species